rnacentral:rRNA from 1 species
UACGGGGGGGGCAAGCGUUGUUCGGAAUUACUGGGCGUAAAGGGCUCGUAGGUGGCCAACUAAGUCGGACGUGAAAUCCCUCGGCUUAACCGGGGAACUGCGUCUGAUACUGGAUGGCUUGAGUUCGGGAGAGGGAUGCGGAAUUCCAGGUGUAGCGGUGAAAUGCGUAGAUAUCUGGAGGAACACCGGUGGCGAAGGCGGCAUCCUGGACCGACACUGACGCUGAGGAGCGAAAGCCAGGGGAGCAAAGCGGG